GACCCCAUCGUCUAGUGGUCAGGACACUGGCCUUUCACGCCGGCGACGGGGGUUCGAAUCCCCCUGGGGUCGCCA
rnacentral:tRNA from 1 species